GGGCAGCCAUUGCGGCCUAGGGCAGGACGCCCGAGCUCUGUCUUAAAGAAACAGGGAGAAAGACGCAAACUAAAAAGGCUCAAAAGCUUCGUUAAGGCCUACGGGUGGGCGCGUACCGCGCAGUUACUGUUUGAGAGCUAAGAAGAAAAAAAAAUUUUAGCGUGUUUUUAUAAUGACCUUGGGAUUUGAAAGGUGGAUGGCCAAAGUGGGGAAAUACCCUUCUCUGGGUUCCCACAGAACUGUGGUACCACGGAGUUUUGCAAUUAAUUUUGCGAGAACACAUCCACAGAACUCACUUUUAAAUGCACGUCACAGACUUCUUGCGUUUAGGAACACCAGACAACACUUCGGAUUAAGCUUGGAGGCCGUUUUAAACAACAAAAUCACCAAAAUGUGAAAAUAGAAUUAUCCUUUAAUGGUUCUGCUGUUCCCACCAAGAUGCCUAAUGUAUUCAACUAACAGCCAGAUGAACUUUAUUGCCAGAGAAGUACCCCUCAUGGAUUGCUAAAUCCAGCUCCAGAAUCCAUUAUCCUCCAUGGAGACAGACACCGCCAAGGACAAGCACCUGGAUUCAUUAUCUCCUCCCAGCAAAGAGAUACAGGCUGGUGGGAAAGCUGCUGACCAGCAAGGUCACGGGCUCCCUCCUCUCUGCAAGUAGUCUGAAAGCCAAAGACAGGCUAGUGGGAAAGCUCCGACCAGCAAGGCCAUAUGCUCUCCCUCCCCUACCUAAAACCCCAAAUAAAAACCCUUCCUUUUAGCUUUUCUGGGAGUUUGGGAUUUUAGGGUUAGCUGCCCUCUCUCCU